UAAUUCAUACUAAAUGAUCAAAUUAAAGCUCAAAUCAAGACCCAAAUCGAUGCAUGAACAUGUAUAAAUGAUCACCUAGUCAAGGGGAUCAUAAGCAAUGUCUUAUGGAACUCCGGAUGAGGAUCAAGUAAGAAAGGAGAACCGAACACAUGUCUCGAAGCUUCCUCAACGAUCUUAUUUUGUUCUAGUUUAAAAAGUGGAUAUUGUAAACACUUGAAAUUAUAUUUUGGAAUGUUUUAAAUUAUGUAAGAAGUUUAACUUGGAAAAGUUUUUGUAA